ACGGAGGUAUUGCCCUAGUAACGGCGAGUGAAGCGGCAACAGCUCAAAUUUGAAAUCUGGCUCUCGGGCCCGAGUCGUAAUUUGUAGAGGAUGCUUUCGACGCGGUGCCUUCCGAGUUCCCUGGAACGGGACGCCAUAGAGGGUGAGAGCCCCGUCUGGUCGGAUGCCAAAUCUCUGUAAGGCUCCUUCGACGAGUCGAGUAGUUUGGGAAUGCUGCUCUAAAUGGGAGGUAUAUGUCUUCUAAAGCUAAAUACCGGCCAGAGACCGAUAGCGCACAAGUAGAGUGAUCGAAGAAUGAAAAGCACUUUGAAAAGAGAGUUAAAAAGUACGUGAAAUUGUUGAAAGGGAAGCGUUUAUGACCAGACUUGGGCUUGGUUAAUCAUCUGGGGUUCUCCCCAGUGCACUUUUCCAGUCCGGGCCAGCAUCAGUUUUCGCCGGGGGAUAAAGGCUUCGGGAAUGUGGCUCUCUCCGGGGAGUGUUAUAGCCCGUUGCGUAAUACCCUGCCGGGGACUGAGGUUCGCGCAUCUGCAAGGAUGCUGGCGUAAUGGUCAUCAACGACCCGUC
rnacentral:rRNA from 1 species